CGUUGAGCCAGGUUGGCGACCGGUUGUGUCUUUAAAAUCUUGCCAACCUGGAAAAAUGUUUUUAAUUAAUACAGAAAAGAAAUAUUUUUAAAAAAUGUUUAUAAAUGUCACGUCUUAUCGUGCCUGUAAAUGUCACAUAAGUUUUUUUUUUAUAUAUUGAAUCAUUAAUUUUAUGUUUUUCGGACUUUAAAUAUUUGGAAUGAACUUUUUGUAAAGAUUUCAGUUCACAAGCAUUUACAAGUCUAUGCAGCAAUGGUAAAUGUAUGCGGGCAGAUGUUAUAAGUCCCAAGGCUCUUACUCAACCAAGAACUGUAAAUCAUAAACUAUCGUAUAAUGUUCCAACAGGACCUAUUCUUCUACGAUCGAAAGCCAUAAGACAUGAUCCAUUGUAUGAGAUUCAAUCAGAAACAGUAAAAUCAUCACCCCUAACUCUUCAACGGCAGAAGGCUGUAAGACGUGAGCCAAAGUUUUAUAAUAAUAAAAAUCAGCGAAAACAGAAAAGUAAAUGGUAUAAUCCACAAUCAAU